rnacentral:tRNA from 1 species
GGAUUGUGGCUCAGUGGUACAGUGCUUGCCUAGCACAUGUGAGGCACUGGGUUCAAUCCUCAGCACCA